CUUGAGUGAAGCUGCCUUUAAAUUGGUAAAGGCUUACAGGUGUGGGUUUUGGUCUUGCAGCUGUAUCAUUGUGACCUGUCUCUGUUUGCCUGCUUCUACCUAAUGAGCAUCAAAUUAUGAAGAGUUCAUCAUCUUUGUGAGCAUCAGAUAAUGAAGAGUUCAUAAAAAACAACCCCAAGUAAACCCCUUUUAUUCAGUUCCAAUAUGUGCUUGGAAAUAAAUGGCAGCAUGGGAAGUCUUGCUGCUGUUUUUAGCAGAGGCUUUUGCAGCACAUUGCUGCUGAUGGAUUUGUGCAGUCAUCACCGUUAAAGCUUGAGGCUGUCAGCAGCAGCAGAUCUGCAGGAUCUGCAAGUUCUGGCUCCAACUAAAAAUAGAAUAGAUUGAGACAUUCCGCUAUCGUGAAGGUUUGCUCAUCUCUGAGGUAUUGGGAGUACAUUAUAGACAUCAUUAAAUUUAUAGCUCUUGUGGUUAGGAUAAAGAAAAAAGUGGUCAUACUGCUGGCAAGUUUAUAUCAACACCUGAGCAUAUAAAAGAUUAAAAGCUUUGGAGGCAAGUCUGCCAAGAGCCUGAGUUCCACUGCCUUCCUUGUGGCUGAGGGUAGUUAUGCAGCAAAAUUUAUUCGCAUCUGUAAAUUUGAUUUUUCUUGCUCUUCUAAGGCAUGAGAAGGAGGAUUGCCACCUCUGCUUCAUGUGCACAGGCUGGGAUCUGUGGAAAAGCCUGGAAAACUCUUUUGCCUUUGGACAGAGGACCAAAAG